CGUGGGGUGGAGCAGCUUGGUAGCUCGUCGGGCUCAUAACCCGAAGGUCGUCGGUUCAAAUCCGGCCCCCGCAACCA
rnacentral:tRNA from 1 species